UACGAAGGGGGCUAGCGUUGCUCGGAAUCACUGGGCGUAAAGGGUGCGUAGGCGGGUCUUUAAGUCAGGGGUGAAAUCCUGGAGCUCAACUCCAGAACUGCCUUUGAUACUGAAGAUCUUGAGUUCGGGAGAGGUGAGUGGAACUGCGAGUGUAGAGGUGAAAUUCGUAGAUAUUCGCAAGAACACCAGUGGCGAAGGCGGCUCGCUGGCCCGAUACUGACGCUGAGACACGAAAGCGUGGGGAGCAAACAGG
rnacentral:rRNA from 1 species